rnacentral:rRNA from 1 species
AACGAACGCUGGCGGCGUGGAUAAGACAUGCAAGUCGGACGAGAUUUUUCGUUGUAGCAAUAUGAUGGAAAGUCUAGUGGCGAACGGGUGCUUAACACGUGGGCAACCUGCCAGGAAGUGGGGGAUAGCUCGCCGAAAGGCGAAUUAAUACCGCAUGUGAUUAGAGAGGACAUCCUUUCGAAAUUAAAGUCGGGGCAACCUGACGCUUCUUGUGGGGCCCGCGGCCUAUCAGCUAGUUGGAGAGGUAAUGGCUCACCAAGGCUUUGACGGGUAGCUGGUCUGAGAGGACGACCAGCCACACUGGGACUGAGACACGGCCCAGACACCUACGGGUGGCAGCAGUCGAGAAUUUUUGACAAUGGGGGAAACCCUGAUCGAGCGACGCCGCGUGGAGGAUGAAGGUCUUCGGAUUGUAAACUCCUGUCAUUGGGGAACAAGGUGCAUACGUUAACUGCGUGUGCAUUGAUAGUACCCGAAGAGGAAGAGACGGCUAACUCUGUGCCAGCCGCCGCGGUAAAAC